GAAAAAGCUUAAACCUAGAAGAGAACAUUUCUCCUUUUAUAGGUUUCCUUUUGUCCGCUAGUGACGUGCCGAUAGAACGAAUAUCAGUAGACCACCUGUCCCUGCCACGCUGAUACGGACGUACGAAGGAAUCAGAUCUCUGCCCCAUGCAUAACGGCCUCUGAUCCUCUCCAGGAUCGGGUAGGCGGGUCUACAAGAUGAGUGGACGGAUCCUCUUUCGGGUUUUGGGCUGGGCCGGAGAGUGAGAGUAGAGCAGGGUCUAAAUGGAAUCGGCCUAAGGAGUAGAGGUGGCGUGUCCGGCCUGAUGAGGGGAGCCGGAUGAACCUGGUC
rnacentral:lncRNA from 1 species